rnacentral:lncRNA from 1 species
AAACGAAAUUAUGAUUAUUUGGAUAUAAUAAGAAAAUAAAACAAAUAUUAAGUAAAAUAUUCUAUUUUCUUAUUAAACAAUAUUUUUAGAACUAUACGUAGAUAAUUUUUGUAGUGCAAAAGCAAAAUAAAUUCAUACAUACUGUAAUACAAUAACCCAGAGUAUUUAAUUUAAUUUACAAUAACCAGUGGGCCCCCGAAUAACCAAAAGUAAAGAGGACUGUGAACCUACAGUUUAGAGAAUGCAAAUCCCACAGUAGUCCUCGAUCAGAUCAGCU